GCGGCCCGUAACAAGCAGGCCACAGGGAAGGGGCGGUGACUCCCGCGCCUGUUCUCUGGGCCCGGCUGAUGCUGCUGCUACUCUCCCUUCGAGUCACUGCCUCCGGGCCGCACCACUCGCCCACCUGGCCCAGCAGCCCAGCCCAGCCCUGCUCGGGCUUCGCACAGGGCCCUGUGCCUCUGCUCAGGAAAUCCGAAGGGUCUGCAGCUCAGCCUUCCGUGGGAAACCACCAGCACCCCAGCGGCCGACUCAGCUCAGUGACUUCCAGGUUCUCCUCCCUCUCGAGCUCUGCCUGUGGGUCCUACCAGGUCAUGAGCAAAGUAGAAAGCACAGAACGGAGGUUCUCAAAGUGUGUGACCCCAGAACCGGCAGCAUCAGCACCACCUGGGAACUUGUCAGAAAUGCACGUUUUCCAUCGCCACCCAGAUCUCUGGGGUCGGAAAUUGUCGGGGUGGGGCUCGGAGAGCACGGUAUUGCAACCAGCUUGGCCACGCUGAAGCCUGAGAACUGGUGGCCUAGAGGAGGUCCCAAGUCACCGGAGACUGUAGAGCACCCAGGACCGGCUUUUACAAUGAGCACAUUUGACAAAGCAAUCGUAAGACCUGGAUGGUAUCUUCUGAGAAAUGGUUUAUGACACACAAACUGCAAAUUCCAGGCGGAGCAGUAGGCCACCCACAUAGGACAUCUGUCAAGUGUGGAGACCACGACAGGGUUCGGACAUCACGGACCCCUAAACAUCUUUGCACACCAAUCAACACAAGUGAGCUGGGGAAGGGGGAACAAAAGGCAGAGAGAUUUGGAUGUUUCUUCUGUGGCAGAAACCACUUUGUGAAGCAGCUAUUUUACAAGAAAAUGAAUUUCUCGGGAGAUCCCGUGUUGGUAUCCUCUCCGGCGUUCAGCUUUAGUAAUUUGGGGGGUUGGGGAGGUAAUCAUUUGAUUUCUGUGCAAAAUAAAUGUAGUCUCUGUUGCAACA